AUUAUUCAGACAAACCAAGUCUGUCCAAAGAUGUGCAUAUGUAUGAAAAGCUACAAAUGAAGACUUCCACUCCAGGUACAAGAAAGGAAUUGUCCAGCAGUACACAGACAUUUAGAGGUUCAGCAAUGAAAGUUAAAUAGAGAAGAGCUCUCUUAGCGAGGAGUAGAAUGAAAACCAAAAAGAAAUUGUAGAAUGUAAUAUGCCCAACAUGCUGCAACAUCACGAGUUCUAGUAGGGUUUAGUGUGGUAGUGUAGUCUAAUUAAUACUCAACUCCUUGGUCUUGAAAAGGAAGUGGCUCACAUAGUGUUUGGGACCAUUGAGAAUUCUACUUUCUUUUUCUUCCAAAAUUUUAAUAACGAUGACUAUGUGCUCAAAUAUCCACUUCCUUUUAACCAAGGGGAUAAGGCCAGGGCCUAAAACUAAGCAAUCCUUUCUUUACAUAUGCAUUUUCCUUUUAUUUUUGUAUGGCUACUCUUGCUUCUUUGCUUAAGUCAUCAUGGUAUAGUGCAAAUGCUUUCAUGAGAACACAAUGGUUCAUCUGUUUUUUAUAUUAAAAAAAAAAAAAAAAAAAAAAAAAACUUCAAAUGAAAUACAGAUCAUACUUUUUACUGCUCUAAAAGUCUAUUGAGAUUUGACCGAUCAAACAAAAGCUAAAUUUUGUUCUUGUAGAUACCACUAUUUUAUUUCUCAACAAAGCAUCUAAUCAUACUAACACAGACAUUUAGAGGUUCAACAAUGAAAGUUUAAUAGAGAAGAGCUCUCUUAGCGAGGAGUAGAAUGAAAACGAAAAAGAAAUUGUAGAAUGUAAUAUGUCCAACAUGCUGCAACAUCACGAGUUCUACUAGGGUUUAAUGUGGUAGUAUAGUCUAAUUAAUACUCAACUCCUUGGUCUUUAAAAGGUAGUGGCUCACAUAGUGUUUGAGACCAUUGAGAAUUCUACUUUCUUUUUCUUCCAAAAUUUUAAUAACGAUGAC
rnacentral:lncRNA from 1 species